rnacentral:lncRNA from 1 species
AAACUUCGAAUGACGGGUGGGGUGUUGAAAAUCUCACCAUUAAAUGUUUUUUUCUACUUUUCAUUUACUUUCAGGUGAAUUCAUCGUCCGUUUACUGGAUUUGAUUGGUGCCAAAGGUGAAUUUAAACCGUUAUGCGACAUAGAAAUGACCGGCAUCUUCUUCCAGAAAAUUUAUAAGGAAUAAAACUUGGUUCGUCCUUGAAAUGUUGCGGUUGCUUCGUACUGUUUUUUAAUCUCUCCGCCCCUCUUUGGUGAUGUAAGAGGAAAAAAAGGUCGUCCACCCUUCAACGAUCGACGUAAUUUCUGGACGUGGUGUGGCCUCGAAUGAAUCGUUCACCUUGAUUCGACUCAGUCUACCAACUUCCACCGUGGGAGCCCAGUUGCUUGCUGGCAAGUUAUGGAAAUGACUAAAAGCAACGCGAGAAGAGGAAUUGGAUCGGUUUGAAACAACGUGAGUGUCUACGCCAUUGAUCCAAUGGAAUUAGGAGGAGUCUGCUCUACCCACGUUUUAAUGGCGGAGGAAGGAGGGGACUUACUACAUCACCAAGUAAAUCGACGACGCUGUUCGGCUGUAGUUUCUGCUUUCCUGUAAGAAUGAAACAAUCCAGUUGACUUCGGUAGAGUUUCUCCCAACUCUUCGCUGAUAUGAGGCCGGAUCGACAGUUGUAGGCCAAAAUGUGAAUUUCACCAACACCCAGUGACUUUCAAUUAGGAUGAGUCGGCAUGGAGUCGGUACAAUUGGUUAAUUAAGGACUAAUUAGGAAUUGACAAAUUUCAACAAGUUUUGACAUCUUCGAGGCAGAGGCCCUGAUGCCCACCCUAUUGGCAUUCCCACAUCUCUGACAUUGUUUGAAAACUUUGUAGGCUGAUUGCUUAAGGAGAUUUGGAUAGAUGUGAUUUGUGGUGUUAAAUCUUUGCCAGAGAAGAUACUACACCGUCCUGCAUGCUGAUUGUAUUUGAUGCUGUGCAAGCCCUAAUGGUUGAAGGAAGGCAACCUCAUUGAUGUUUGGCCACUGCUUAAUCUGAAAGGGACUGUUGUAUUUGUUCCUGUCAGAAAAUUUAUUGUAGUAAGUUGAAUGUUCAUCUUGAAAUGGUUGAAGAGAUCGAGUGGAGUCUACUCUUCAACAACAAGGGGAUUCAACAUCAUCGAGUUACAGAUUGAAGUUUUACAGCAGUAACUCGAGUUCAACAACAGUAAUAUAUAUUUUGUGCUAUGAUAUACAUUCUGUAUAAGUGAGAAAUGAAAUAUACAAAUUAUAAAUGA